GUGCCAGCCGCCGCGGUAACACGUAGGGGGCGAGCGUUGUCCGGAUUUAUUGGGCGUAAAGAGCUCGUAGGCGGCUUGGUAAGUCAGGUGUGAAACCCCCGGGCUCAACCCGGGGACGCCACCUGAUACUGCUAUGGCUUGAGUCCGGUAGGGGAGCGUGGAAUUCCUGGUGUAGCGGUGAAAUGCGCAGAUAUCAGGAGGAACACCAGCGGCGAAGGCGGCGCUCUGGGCCGGAACUGACGCUGAGGAGCGAAAGCGUGGGGAGCAAACAGGAUUAGAAACCCUAGUAGUCC
rnacentral:rRNA from 1 species